AGGUGCGAGUCACAGGCCUCAUCAAACAGUUCUCCGACAAGUCACUGAUAAACUUCAAUCGUUCUCAACGAAUAUCCAAUUGAUAAUCGCCAAGAUGCCAGGACCAUGCUGCGACAAGUGCUCCUCCCAGUGCAAGGAUGGCUGCAAAUGCGGAGAUAACUGUAAGUGCUCCAGUGGUGGAUGUUCAGACCAAUGCUCUUGCAAAUCUGGUGAACAAUGCAAUUGCAAAACAUGCGCCUGCAAAUAAAUAUCCUUUCAUGAUGACUUUACAAGAUAUCACCUAAUCAUCGCUUCAAUUGGACCGGCAGCUUUUGCAAUGAAUGCUUUAAAGGAUCAAUAAUAUUUACAAUCAGAUAAAUUGAAUACUUUGAUGAAAAUGUAUUACACUGAUGAUAUAAAUCGUCAAUGCUGCGUGGUAGCCAUUAAAUGUUGAUAGUAUUAUUAAAAUUCAAUACGACUGUGA